GUUUUGGUUCCGGAGUAACAGUGCCUUCGCUGCCGCCUUCCUCUUCUCGCCGCCGCUGCUUUUGCCGCCGCCGCCGGGACGCGCAGUGUUUCCGGGUGGGGCAGAAGACUUGUCCCUGACCCUCUCACGGAGGGUCCCCUCCGCUUCCUCAAGGACUGGCGGCCCUGGGGCUCUUUCUUCCUAAUAGCCGGUGACUGAGUCCCCUCCAGUUGGGGGCCCUCUUUUUGCCGCUGUCUCCCCCAAACCGCGUCCUUGCUCUCCCGUCUCCUCACACACGGAAGGCAGAGAGCUUCAUUACACCGUUUGCCUUCCUUUCCAACUCCAGCACCUUCUGACCUCCGCUAGUUCCUGCUGGCCCCUGCUCCCUUCCCGGUGCACCCUCGCCGGGAGGCACCCUCAGACCGCGUACACCCUGAGUCUGGCGCGGUACCUGCGGGCCCCUGCCUGGUCACCCCUCCUCUUUUUAAAACACCCUCCGAAUCCCCUGUUUUCACCUUCUGUUUUCUGCCCCUCCCUUUGUCACCUCUUGAAGUCCCCGCCUAACCAGGGGCCAGCGGAUACCCCCUACUCCAAGAUGUGAACCCUUUAACCUGUAAUGCUCUGGCUGACCCUUGGCCCCUUCCAUGCCAUGGAGAACCAGGUGCUGGUGAUUCGCAUCAAGAUUCCAAAUAGUGGGGCAGUGGACUGGACAGUGCACUCUGGGCCGCAGUUACUCUUCAGGGAUGUGCUGGAUGUGAUAGGCCAGGUUCUGCCUGAAGCAACAACUACAGCAUUUGAAUAUGAAGAUGAAGAUGGUGAUCGAAUUACAGUGAGAAGUGAUGAAGAAAUGAAGGCAAUGCUGUCAUAUUAUUAUUCCACAGUAAUGGAACAGCAAGUAAAUGGACAGUUAAUAGAGCCUCUGCAGAUAUUUCCAAGAGCCUGCAAGCCUCCUGGGGAACGGAACAUACAUGGCCUGAAGGUGAAUACCCGGGCUGGACCCUCUCAACACAGCAGCCCAGCAAUCUCGGAUUCACUUCCAAGCAAUAGCCUAAAGAAAUCUUCUGCUGAAUUGAAAAAAAUAUUAGCCAAUGGCCAGAUGAAUGAACAAGACAUACGGUAUCGAGACACCCUUGGUCAUGGCAACGGAGGCACAGUCUACAAAGCCUAUCAUGUCCCGAGUGGGAAAAUAUUAGCUGUAAAGGUCAUAUUAUUAGAUAUUACACUGGAACUUCAGAAGCAAAUUAUGUCUGAAUUGGAAAUUCUUUAUAAGUGUGAUUCAUCAUAUAUCAUAGGAUUUUAUGGGGCAUUUUUUGUAGAAAACAGAAUUUCAAUAUGUACAGAAUUCAUGGAUGGGGGAUCUUUGGAUGUAUAUAGAAAAAUUCCAGAGCAUGUCCUUGGAAGAAUUGCAGUAGCAGUUGUAAAAGGCCUUACUUAUUUGUGGAGUUUAAAGAUUUUACAUAGAGAUGUGAAGCCCUCCAAUAUGCUAGUCAACACAAGAGGACAGGUCAAGCUAUGUGAUUUUGGAGUUAGCACUCAGCUGGUGAAUUCUAUAGCCAAGACGUAUGUUGGAACAAAUGCUUACAUGGCGCCUGAAAGAAUUUCAGGGGAGCAAUAUGGAAUCCAUUCUGAUGUCUGGAGCUUAGGAAUCUCUUUCAUGGAGAGCCUCAAGCUGUCGCCCUGUGUAGAGUCCUAUGGCAUCACAGCUCACAGCAACCUCCAACUCCUGGGCUCAAGCAAUUCCCCUGCCUCCACCUCCCAAGUACCUGGAUUUACAGGCGUGUGCCAGAAUGACUGGCUGUUUUUUGGUUGCAGCCAUCAUUGUUUGGUGGGCCCGGGCUGGAUUCCAACCCACCAGCUCAGAUGUAUGUGGCUGGCGCCUUAGCCGCUUGAGCCACAGGCGCCAAGCCGAUCUGUUUGUUUUUAAAUAAGGUGAUAAUUGUAGAUAAGUAUAAUACAGAUGUUGGGGGGAAAGAGCACCGGAGAAGCCUCCACACCACCGCAUCCUGGCCCUGAGGCCUUGGGCCUGCACCCUGUCCUCUGGCAGACUCAGUUUUCCCUCAUAGAAUAGACAUGAUCAUCCUUGCCAACCUUAGGGUGGUUGUGCCCAUCAAAUGAGUGUGUAUGUCAAUAACUUUUUUAAAUACCAUUAAAAACAUAUAAGGGACUACUACUAUUUCUCUGUAUUUUACCAGCUGGUUGGAAUUCAUUUAUCCCAGAAGACAAUUGGCUCAUCAAUAGUGGUAUUUGGUUCCUGAAAAUUUCCCUCUUAGAAAAUUUAGUACCUGGGACUCCAUUUUCAGUGAAUUUGUAAUGACUUUUGCUGGAUGGUAAGGCAUUGAAGUGUUUAAUACUUUAAUGACUAAGUGGAUAUUUUAUUAAUUUUGAGUUAUAUUGUAGUAACUUUCUGACAGAUAUGGUUUAUCAGUUUAACACUGAUAUGUGAGCAGCCUGCCUUCAGAAUGUUAAUCAGGAACAGUCACUCUUAUUGGAAUCUGGUUUUAUUCCCUGAAAAGCAGUGUAAAACUUGCAUGAAUUUGAUUUUCCCAGAGAGCAUUGCUGCCUGGAAAGAGGCUGAAAGAACUUUAGAAAAGAUGGAGUCUUUACCUCACUCCUAAGUUAGAGACAAAUACUUCAACCACAUAAUUAAAGUUUUCUUCACAAAAUAGGCGAUUGUGAGCAGACACUGGCAGGAAUCCAAAAUUCUAAUUUCUGACUAUGAUUUAAUUUCAAUUUUAAAUAAAUCGGUUUUUAAUUUAAAAAGAGUGAGCUUCAUAACAUUAGCAAUGAUUGCAACAUUAAGCCCAGUGUUCACAAUCUAGCAAUAUAAAACAUUAUUUAUAUCUGAAUCGUAAACAGCCUUUUGAAAUGGAUUAUGGUUUUUCUCCCUAUUCUAAUACAACCUGGAGGGUACUAAAAAGUGUUGUGUGAAAUUAACAUUCUGCUGACUUUCGCCUAUAAAUGAGAAGCGAGCUAUUAACAUUUGUGUAUUUUCAUUAUGUAAAUUGUGUUAACACAUGCCCACAAAUUGCCACCAGCAAUGCAAUAAUUUUCUCUCAGUGAUCAUAAUGUGUCCAAGUGAGUCAUUUUGAUUAUGACAUGCUAAUUACAUAUUGCCUUUUUUCAGAUUCAGAAAAACCAGGGAUCUUUAAUGCCUCUCCAGCUUCUGCAGUGCAUUGUUGAUGAGGGGAGAAACCCUGCAAAAGCAGACUGUCCCACAGGCUGUUCCUCAGGGGUGUCAGAGGCCCUAAAGAC